GGGUGGUAAUGCCGGAUGUUCCACAUGAUCGCAUGUGAUUGUGGGAAAGAUUCUAUCGGCGUGGGAUGGGGUCGCGUCCUAUCAGCUUGUUGGUGAGGUAACGGCUCACCAAGGCUUCGACGGGUAGCCGGCCUGAGAGGGCGACCGGCCACAUUGGGACUGAGAUACGGCCCAGACUCCUACGGGAGGCAGCAGUGGGGAAUAUUGCACAAUGGGCGCAAGCCUGAUGCAGCGACGCCGCGUGAGGGAUGGAGGCCUUCGGGUUGUAAACCUCUUUUGUUUGGGAGCAAGCCUUCGGGUGAGUGUACCUUUCGAAUAAGCGCCGGCUAACUACGUGCCAGCAGCCGCGGUAAUACGUAGGGCGCAAGCGUUAUCCGGAUUUAUUGGGCGUAAAGGGCUCGUAGGCGGCUCGUCGCGUCCGGUGUGAAAGUCCAUCGCUUAACGGUGGAUCUGCGCCGGGUACGGGCGGGCUGGAGUGCGGUAGGGGAGACUGGAAUUCCCGGUGUAACGGUGGAAUGUGUAGAUAUCGGAAAAGAACACC
rnacentral:rRNA from 1 species